CAGCCGCCGCGGUAGUACGCAGGGUGCAAGCGUUAAUCGGAAUUACUGGGCGUAAAGCGUGCGCAGGCGGUUCGUUAAGACAGAUGUGAAAUCCCCGGGCUUAACCUGGGAAUGGCGCUUGUGACUGCAAAGCUAGAGUGCGGCAGAGGGGGAUGGAAUUCCGCGUGUAGCAGUGAAAUGCGUAGAUAUGCGGAGGAACACCGAUGGCGAAGGCAAUCCCCUGGGCCUGCACUGACGCUCAUGCACGAAAGCGUGGGGAGCAAACAGGAUUAGAUACCCGAGUAGUCCCUGUCUCUUAUAC
rnacentral:rRNA from 1 species